GUGAUGACGUCAGCAUUGACGUGUUCAUUCAGCGUCGAGUCUUCAGGGCUGAGCAGGCGGAGAGGAGCUCUGAGGGGAAAUAUGUUUGUUGUUUAUAGUCUAAAGCUCAUCAAUAUUUUAUUUUUCAUUCAUUACAUUGAUGUCUUCAGAUCAGCACAGGGUGAAGAUGUGUGAUCCAGAACCCUGCCGAAUUAAAGAGGAACAGACUGAAGAAAUAAUAGAUGUGAUAGUGAAGGAGGAGAGUGAAGAACUGAGUGAGGAUGAGGAGAAACAUCAGGUCAGUAGUGAAAUCAAAACUCCUAAUAGUUCUUUGAUGAAAAUAAACACCAUAAAAGGUUUCACCUGCACUCAGUGCGGAAAGAGUUUCAGCCAAAAACACUCUCUCAAUGCUCACACGAGGAUCCACACUGGAGAGAAACCGUACCAGUGUUCACUCUGCGGCAAGAGAUUCAGUCGGUCAGGACACCUGACAAGACAUGAGAGGACUCACACUGGAGAGAA
ensembl:processed_transcript si:dkey-4c15.14 si:dkey-4c15.14